AGCCUAAAGAAAAUUAUUUUAGGUAAAACCUGCCCAGUGCUGGCGUGUAAACGUAGUAAAUGGCCGCAGUACCUUGACUGUGCUAAGGUAGCGUAAUCAGUUGGCUUUUAAAUGGAGUCGUGUAUGAAUGGAUUGAUGGGGUUAAACUGUCUCUUUUGAGUUUGAUUGAAUUUGAUUAAAGGGUGAAAAUGCCUUUGUAUUAGAUAAAGGACGAUAAGACCCUUGGAGUUUUUACUAAUAAGUUUUAGCUUUUAUGGUUUUUGCUGGGGCGGCAAAGAGGUAUUGGAAACCCUCUUACAAAAUUCGCCGAAAUUUUUAAGUAUAAUUAAACUACCCGAGGGAUAACAGCAUUAUUCUGUAUAGAGUUUGUGACCUCGAUGUUGGACUAGGAGUUUACUAGGCUAGCCGCUUAGAUAUAUUGUUCUGUUCGAACUAAUUUUCC
rnacentral:rRNA from 1 species